AGCCCAGCUCUGGCCCCCCUCCCUGGCCAGUACGAAGGACAAAGUCCAAGGGGAGAGAAGGAGGAGGGACCUAGAUAAGGUGGUAGAAGUUGGACUGCCAGCAAAAGGCUCUGAGACAUGCGCGUGUGCGCAGGUGCCCAUGCGUGUGCAUGUGCACAUCUGUGUGUGCUGAGGGCCCUUGUGAGGGUAAAAAGGAUGGAAUGUGACCUCUGGUGUUUUAUUUCUUUGGAGGGAAUUUCUAGGAAUAGUUCCUGGCUCCCAGCUGCUGAGAAGCUGUAUUGUAUGUGAGGUGCACUAUUCUGUGCUGCCACCUACAGGAAAAGCCAUGGGCUGUAGCUUCCUGGAAAGAUUGGGCAGAAGUUGCAGUGUGAUGAACAUUGUAUGGAAGCUUAGACUGAAACUGGAGUUAACACCUCAAAUGACCACAAUUCCUCCUCUCCUGCCUUGGAAGGAACCUUAUAGGGUACCCCAGAUCCUCCAACUUUUUUUUUUUUUCCCCUGAGAAACAUGGAGUUCCUUCACUACUCAGGGACCCAGCCAGUUGCAUUUCUUAGGCAGGCUCAAGGCUUUGGCAAGAUACUGAUAAAGGUGUUUAGAUUGUUGCCUGAAAGAAACUAGCCUCAGCCCUGAACCAAAUUCCUUAAACCCUCUCAUGAAUUCUGUACCCUGAUGCCCUUACUGUGGGGAUAAGUGGAACAUCUUUUACUCUCCCUUUCAUAAAGAUAUACUGCAGCCUGCUCUGUAAAUACUUGGGACCAGUCA